rnacentral:rRNA from 1 species
UACGUAGGGUGCAAGCGUUGUCCGGAAUUAUUGGGCGUAAAGCGCGUGUAGGCGGCCCGGUAAGUCCGCUGUGAAAGUCCAGGGCUCAACCCUGGGAUGCCGGUGGAUACUGUCGGGCUCGAGUCCGGAAGAGGCGAGUGGAAUUCCUGGUGUAGCGGUGAAAUGCGCAGAUAUCAGGAGGAACACCAAUGGCGAAGGCAGCUCGCUGGGACGUGACUGACGCUGAGACGCGAAAGCGUGGGGAGCAAACAGG